UUUUUUUUAUCAUGUACUUUUUGAGUUCCCUAUGUGAUUUUGUAAUGUAAAAAACUUUGCAUGCUGUCCACUGCAUUGUCCUCUUAUUACUGUAUUAAUCAGUUGGUCCUUAUAAAUUAUUAUACCCCCACAAACGAAGUUUAGGGGGGUAUAUAGGAGUGAACUUGUCUGUCGGUCGGUCGGUCUGUCGUCUGUCUGUCGGUCCGUAUUAAGUGUCCGCUCUCUAAUUCAUGUAGUUUUCAUCCGAUCUUCACUAAACUUGGUCAGAAGUUGUAUCUACAUGAUGUCUAGGCUAAGUUCGAACAUGGGUCUUGCCGGGUCAAAAACUAGGUCACUGGGUCACUUAGUGCGUUUAAAAAAUUCAGCAUGUUGUCCGCUCUCUAAUUCAAGUAGUUUUCAACCAAUCUUCACCAAACUUGGUCAGAAGUUGUAUCUAGAUGAUCUUAAGGCCAAGUUCGAACAUGGCCUUGCCGGGUCAAAAACUAGGUCACGGGGUCACUUAGUCCGUUUUUUAACAUUCAGCAUGGUGUCCUCUCUCUUAUUCAAGUAGUGUUCAUCCUAUCUUCACCAAACUUGGUCAGAAGUUUUAUCUAGAUGAUCUGAAGGCCAAGUUCGAACAUGGGCCAUGCCAGAUCAAAAACUAGGUCACAUGGUCACUUAGGACGUUUUACACAUUGAGCAUGGUGUCCGCUCUCUAUUUCAAGUAGUUUAAAUCCGAUCUUCACCACACUUGGUCAGAAGUUGUAACUAGAUGAUGUGUAGGUCAAGUUCGAACAUGGGCCAUGCCGGGUCAAAAACUAGGUCACAGGGUCACUAAGUGUGUUUUAAACCUCACCAUGUUGUCCGCUCUCUAAUUCAAGUAGUUUUUAUCCAAUCUUCACCAAAAUUGGUCAGAAGUUGUAUCUUGAUAAUGUCUAGGGCAAGUUUGAAUAUGGGUCAUGCCGGGUCAAAAACUAGGUCACGGGUUAUCUUAGUGCGUUUUAAACCUCACCAUGUUGUCCGCUCUCUAAUUCAAGUAGUUUUCAUCCAAUCCUCACCAAACUUGGUCACAAGUUUUAUCUAAAUGAUCUCUAGGACAAGUUUGAACAUGGGCCAUUCCGGGCCUAAAACUAGGUCAUGGGGUCACUUAGUGCGUUUUUUAACAUUCAGCAUGGUGUCCGCUCUCUAAUUCAAGUAGCUUACAUCCGAUCUUCACCAAACUUGGUAAGAAGUUUUAUGGAGAUGAUCUUAAGGCCAAGUUAGAACAUGGGCCUUUCUGGGUCAAAAACUAGGUCAAGGGGUCACUUAGUGCAUUUUAAAAAUUGAGCAUGGUGUCCACUGUUUUCUGUGAAGACGACAUGCAAAAUAUUAUGUGUCAAUGCGGCAUGUGGGGGUAUUCGUCACAUCUGUGACAAAGCUCUAGUUAAACAUUUGUCAAAUCUGAAUACCACUUCAUUGUAAAUAUUAAGUUUAACUAUUUUAUAUUUUUCUUCCCCACAAAAUCAGAGGCAUUAAGCUUUCUUUUGUCUGUCCCUAUGUAUGUCUGUAACCCCCAAUAUGUUUUGUACUUAAAAAUUAUUAAACAUUUAUCAAAUCUGAA